CCACGGACCGAGAGAGAGCGAGCGAGCUGAUGAGCGGUUUGUUUUGAAACGGGACCAAAAGUGAAGAUAGCGGCGACAUAACAAGAUGUACUGUCCAUAUUGUGGAUCUGCCUUGACAGCUUCCCCUGGGUUAUGUUGUGCGUGAGGCAAAAACAUCAGAUUUCUAAAAGAUGUGGCAAACAAAGUCCCUGAGGAGAUGCCCACAACCAGUGCACAUGCUAAUGCACAGCCUAGUGCUGGAAAUAUUGAUGAUGAAGGAACAGAAACAGAAAUUAGCAAAGAUUUAUGUUGGAGUUAUGAAGAUGACAGGUGAUUCCCUUAAACCUGUGGCAGGGAAGUCCCUUCCCCUUGAUAUUCAACCUGAAUGGUCAUCUGAUCAGCUGUUGGCUGCUGUAAAGAAGCUGAAAGAUUUUAACCAGGAUUUGGAAGAUGGUUCACAUGUUUUAUUGUACCCUGAUGCUCAGGAAGUUAGAAACAUCCCAGGAACAAACCCCCCCCUUUUACAAUGCAGAAAUACAAGGAGGAAAAUGGACAGGCCUACUAUAGAAUAACAAUGUACAUUUGCACUGUUGAAGACUUUGCAAACAGCUUUAUGUUCUUUUUAUUUCAUAUUGUGAGUUGUUGCCAGGAAAUCCAAAUUUUCAUCGUAGCUGUAGCCAUUAUGGAAAUACUUUCUAAUCAGAUCCUCUUCUGUGGGGCUGUCUGAUGCUGACCCUGACAAACAUAAAGGGAGAAAAAUAUUAAAAAGCAACAUUUAUAACAAGGACAGGCUCCAUAACAUCAUCCGGUCUUCAGAGAAGAUACUCAACUGCAGUCUGCCAUCUCCUCAGGACUUAUCCAGAACCAGGAGUGCAGGAGAAUUAGGGCAGGUCCCUCCCAUCCUGGACAUCUGUUUUAACCCCUUUCCUCUGGUAAAAGUUUCAGGUCUAUCAUGAUCAAAACCUCAUGCUAUAAGAACUAUUUCUUGCCCAUGGCAGUGAGACUAACAAACUCUUCUUGCCCUUAAUUGGCUCAAAAUCUGAUUCAGAUUUAAUAUUUAAUUCUAUAUACCAAGAGCUACUACAUUAUUAUAGAAGCUGUUAAAAUGUUGAAAUAAAUCAGUCAAAUCCAAUCAUGACCUCUUCAUAUUUUAAACAAAAUAUGUAUGAGCUAUUGUGUGUUGCUACUAAUUAGUAUUCAAAACAGUGUGGUGUGUUGAACCCUUUUUACGAUCAAAAACACAUAUAAUCAAUCUACUUACUGUUGUCUUCUGCUUCUGCCAAAAACUACAUUUUUGCUGCAUGAGCCACAAAACACUUGAACAGUGCUCUGGUGCUUGGUGUUGUUGAAAAGGGACAAAGGCUGGAAGUCUGAAAUAUUGACAUUGAUAUGAUGAAUUAACUAAAUCAUCUAAGUAACAAACAUUACACAUAGCGAUCAUCACUAAAUAAAGAGAAAGGUUACAUCAGAGGAAUGUGAAAAGUUUAUUGUCUGCUGAUCUUAUAUCUCUGUAUAUUAAGGUGUACCCUGUGUUUUGUUUAUUUAUUUAACCUCUCUUUCUUGCCUUGUCACCUUUCCCUGAUGUUUAUUUGUUCUUGAGCAUAUCUAAUGCUCCUUCCUCUUAUGCAAAGUUACCUCGCGGAUCAAUACUGUGUUCUAUCAUAUGUAGAGACGAUUCAGAGAAGAGGAAACUAACGUUAAUGCAAUCAAAAUGCUCAGGUGCCCAGUUCAGUUUGUGUAUUUGGUUGUGUUGUGUGUAUAUGCAUCGCGUUUGUGUAUAUGCAGCGCGUUUGCUGAAUGCUGCGCAUGUAUUGUCAAAUUAAUGAAGUUGUUUUCUUAAUUUGCGUGUGUUUUGCCUAUUUGCAUGUGUUUUCUGAAGUUGCAGGGCUUUUGCCCCUGUCGGCCACCGUACGUCUGGUCACUCUUAAUCAACGUAGUUAUAUGAGGUUCUAAUCGCAAGGCCACCUUUAAUUGUUAUUACAUUUAAAAUAAAUAAUUUGCCAGUCCUAUGAUGCGAAUGGGGAAAUCCGAGAAUUGUUUCCGGCAAUGUUUAGACUGACUGCUGAUGUUUUUUGUUUUGUUUUUAAUGUUGUGUAUGUCUUACAUUUCAUUCAUAAUGGUCUUAAAAAGGUUUUAAAAUGUCUUCAAUUUGACUUGGUGAAACCUACAGAAACCCUGACUGUAGAAUGCUUCUGAAAAUGGUUAGUAAAAAUAUCUUUAGUAUACAUAUUUUGGAGUUGAGGGAGAAAGCUGUUGAAACAGUAGGCUCCUGUCUUCUCAGGUUGUUCUUGUUUUCCAACACUAGAGUGUAAGCUUGCUCCACUGCUCACCGUUUGGUGGCCAAGCGACUUCACCCUACAGUUGUAAAAAGUAUUUAGCUUCUUUCCUUUAAUGGCAAUAAUGUAAAAAGAAAUAUAUUCUUACAAGUAAAAGUCCUGCAUUCAGUAUCUUUCUAUCAAUGGUGGAAGAAGUAUUCAGAUCCCUUACUGCAGUAAAAGUACCAGUUCAACACUGUAAAACAUUACAAGUAAUAGGUCUGCAUUGAAAAUGUUACUUAAGUAAAAAUAUGGAACAUUAGGAACAUGUAUUUUUAGUAUUAAAAGUACAUGUACUCAAUGUACUCAAUGCAGUAAAAUCCUCAAUUUAAUGGUCUAAUCAUUU